AGCUUUGCACAGAGCCGUAUCAUAGCCAAUGAGGUUUAUCUGAGGUGUGAUUGUUGCUAAUUAAAAAUUGUACCAUGAAGCAAGAGAAUAGAUAAAAUUCUGAAAAAUCAUACAAAUAUCCCCCACUGUGAAGGAAGCAAAGAU